UGGGGAAUUUUGGACAAUGGACGCAAGUCUGAUCCAGCCAUGCCGCGUGCGGGAAGAAGGCCUUCGGGUUGUAAACCGCUUUUGUCAGAGAAGAAACGAGUUUCUCUAAUACAGAGACUUAAUGACGGUACCUGAAGAAUAAGCACCGGCUAACUACGUGCCAGCAGCCGCGGUAAUACGUAGGGUGCGAGCGUUAAUCGGAAUUACUGGGCGUAAAGCGUGCGCAGGCGGUUAUAUAAGACAGAUGUGAAAUCCCCGGGCUCAACCUGGGACCUGCAUUUGUGACUGCAUAGCUAGAGUACGGUAGAGGGGGAUGGAAUUCCGCGUGUAGCAGUGAAAUGCGUAGAUAUGCGGAGGAACACCGAUGGCGAAGGCAAUCCCCUGGACCUGUACUGACGCUCAUGCACGAAAGCGUGGGGAGCAAACA
rnacentral:rRNA from 1 species